CUGAGGGAAGUAGUCCCUCUUCCUCUGUCCCUGGACCAUGAUUCGGUGUCGUGGAGCCUUUUGCCUUCGGGCGAUUUCUCCGUUAGUUCGGCUUAUCAAGCAUUAUGUAGGCUGCCGGUUCUACCGUGGCUAUCCCCAUUGUGGAAGGCACCGCUACCUUUGAAGAUCAAGAUUUUUGUUUGGCAGCUUCUUCGAGAUCGUCUCCCUUCAGGGACCGAGGUGCUGAAGCGCCAUGGUCCGUGCAAUGGACUGUGCCCUUUGUGCCAUGUCCCGGAAACGGGAACGCACAUUCUUUUCUCGUGCAUAGCAGCGCAGGCACUUUGGUGCUUUGUUCGUGAGGCUCUUGGGCCGGAGUGGGAGGCCACUGACCUCGCAGGAUUUCUGCAGGUUAUCGCCACCCAGGUUGGCCAUAAGCGCCGACUGUUCUGGCUUAUCUUCGCGGCUAUGAUGUGGACUCUCUGGACUACCCGCAAUAAGAUGGUGAUUGAGAGGGUGUUCCCGCGACGUGCUUCUGACUCGUUCUUCAAAUUUCUUGCCUUCCUGCAGCACUGGCAUCCGCUCGCUAGGCCGAGGGAUCGUGAUCGUCUUCAGCUUCUCUUGGACGCCCUGGUGUCUUCUACGCGCCGGCUCUCCGACCGCUUGUCUGCUACUUAG
rnacentral:rRNA from 1 species